AAACAGCAGUGGGUGCACCUUCACGAAGACUGAAAGGAUAUCCACGGACGAAAUCAGCACCUUCUCUAUAAGGAUCAUAAAGGGUGUUGAAGAAAAAUGGAGUGGCAGGACAUAGCAGAUUCUUAAUGUGCUGCUCAAGUGCAUUGAUGUCCUUUCCAGAAGGGUCCUUAGCAACCUACACAUGAAAACAGGAGAUGCUCAGAAAAAAAAAAUCCCUACAAUUCGUAUUGAACAUAGAACAUUCUUUGAACAAAGGCUUUACUGACAGCAAUAACCAAACGAGAGUCACUAUUUCAAUCCUUAUUUGAAAUUCAGACUCAUACGAAAAGGAAACAGAGACAAUAAGACAAGAUCCACCUUCAAUUUGAAUGGCAAUCAUUAUGUCCCCAAAGCCAAAAUAAAGGUAAAAGAGAAAAGAAUCUUUGUCUCAUAAUCAUGAAAAAAAAAACACAAAUUAAUGUCAACAGUUUGUAGAUCUAGUUGUAUUCGAUCAAAAAUCAACUUUUGAGUCACAAAAAUGCGAUAUAAAAAAAUCCAACUAUUAAGUUCAGAAAACUUUUUUAAUUUGAAUUACAAUGACCAAACAAUUUCACUCUAUUGCAUUAAUAAAAAUAAAAUAAAAAAGAUCGUUAAUUCAUAGAAAAAUCAAAACCCAGUCAUUACCAUAACAGUUAAAUCGCAUUCACCCAAACCCAAGUAAACUAUUCUCAUAGAAUCAUACCCAUUUUCAAAACCAGUCAUUCUAGAUCCAAACACACUCCAAUCUCAAACGAGAGAACAACCAAAUAAGGAACCUCUAACAACAGUGAAAACAACAGAUCGUUAAGGUUACACGCACACACACAAACACAGGACAAAUCACGAAUACUUAUAACAAAUGGAAAAACAACAACCAUUCAUUCAGUCAACAAAUCAAAUCCACACUUAGAUCUAGCCCCGUUUCAAAACCCUACCAAGCCCUUGUAAAGAACACACUAAAAAACCAAAUAAUUGAAAUCAAUAAACCGCAUGAAUAUGAAACAAUAUCCACGGCAAAAAGAAAAGGCAUUAAAUCUCAGAAAACAGAAUCCUCAUACCAUCAGAAAACCCGCAAGCAAGCAUCCAACUUUAACCGAAACCCCUCAAUUUUCCAAGUCGAAAUGCACAAAAUUUAACGAAACAGACGCAUCAGAAAAACAAAAGGCUUCAAAACCUCAGGAAGCAGAAUUCCCGACCCAUCAUAAAACCCACCAGCAAGCUUGCAACUUUAAGUCAAACCCACAUUCUUUCAAGUCCAAAAUUAAAAACCAACAUAAACAAAUCCACUAUAAAACUAAAUCAAGAAACAGAAUUCCCAACCCAUCAGAAAACCCACAAGCAAGCACACAUCUUUAACUCAAAUUCACGAUUAUCACAGCCAAAGAGGUACAAGAAUUAAAAAAUCUGGAGAUGGGUAGGUUAUAAUUACGAAGCAAUCGUCGUCGAUGGUGUAGAUGUACUUCUUCUUGGAGACCAUGUAGCCGAAGCAGCGACAAGCAGAGUCCUUGAAGGAGAUGCAAUUGGC
rnacentral:lncRNA from 1 species